GCUCGGCACGACGCAGUCCGUACCUACAGGUAUUGGAACGUUCCUAUGCAAGGGGUCCCAGCAUUCCUGUAGAGAUAGCAGCACAAAGUUUAUUGGCCCUAUGUAACAUCAAUUACAGUCUAGCCUGAUGCACAUAGUUACAUAUUCUAUCUUUUACAUUCAACACAGUCGAGUUUGUCGGUAUGUAUGUGUUUCCUCAUGCAUUGUUGCCCUCAUUCAAGGUUGAUAAAAGAUGUCGAAAAGAUAAGGUGUACGAAUAUUGAAUUAACAGCCCUCAAUGCGCUUCACUCUCAUGCUGAUGAUCCCACUGGAUUUCCGGAGCUCAUGUAUGAAGAGACGUGGUCCAAGUUUUCAUCGGCUGGGAAGAUAUUCAAAUGAUGAUGGGUCUCAUAAGGUUACUUGAGCUAAUAGAAAAAGACAAUUAGCAUACAUAUCAAUCACUUAGGAUCAGAUCCGUUUACCACUCGUUCUUGAGUCAAUAACCACAUUCGCUUCCAUCCC
rnacentral:lncRNA from 1 species